rnacentral:rRNA from 1 species
GAUGAACGCUGGCGGCGUGCCUAAUACAUGCAAGUCGAGCGAAGCGGGGACGGGUGAGUAAUACGUAGAUACCCUCCUAUAAGACUGGGAUAACUUCGGGAAACCGGAGCUAAAUCGGAUACUCAUUGAUGGAUCCGCGCUGCAUUAGCUAGUUGGUAAGGUAACGGCUUACCAAGGCAACGAUGCAUAGCCGACCUGAUAGGAGGAUCAGCCACACUGGAACUGAGACACGGUCCAGACUCCUACGGGAGGCAGCAGUAGGGAAUAUUCCGCAAUGGGCGAAAGCCUGAAGGAGCAACGCCGCGUGUGUGAAGAAGGUCUUCGGAUCGUAAAACUCUGUUAUUAGGGAAGCGGUACCUAAUGAGAAAGCAACGGCUAACUACGUGCCAGCAGCCGCGGUAAUAC